rnacentral:rRNA from 1 species
CAGCCGCCGCGGUAAUACGGAGGAUGCAAGCGUUAUCCGGAAUGAUUGGGCGUAAAGCGUCCGCAGGUGGCAGUUCAAGUCUGCUGUCAAAGACCGGGGCUUAACUUCGGAAAGGCAGUGGAAACUGAACAGCUAGAGUAUGGUAGGGGCAGAGGGAAUUCCUGGUGUAGCGGUGAAAUGCGUAGAGAUCAGGAAGAACAUCGGUGGCGAAGGCGCUCUGCUGGACCAUAACUGACACUCAGGGACGAAAGCUAGGGGAGCGAAUGGGAUUAGAUACCCCAGUAGUCCUAGCCGUAAACGAUGGAUACUAGGUGUUGUCUGUAUCGACCCGGACAGUGCCGUAGCUAACGCGUUAAGUAUCCCGCCUGGGGAGUACGCACGCAAGUGUGAAACUUAAAGGAAUUGGCGGG